rnacentral:rRNA from 1 species
UACAGAGGCCCCAAGCGUUACUGAGAAUCACUGGGUUUAAAGGGUGCGUAGGUGGUCCGUUAAGUCCGUUGUGAAAUCCCUGGGCUCAACCCAGGAAAUGCUUCGGAUACUGGCGGACUUGAGGCUAGUAGGGGUCACUGGAACUGACGGUGGAGCGGUGAGAUGCGUAGAUAUCGUCAGGAACGCCAAUGGUGAAGACAGGUGACUGGGCUAGUCCUGACACUGAGGCACGAAAGCGUGGGGAUCAAACGGG